rnacentral:rRNA from 1 species
AACGAACGCUGGCGGCGUGUUUAAGACAUGCAAGUCGCACGGGAUAAGACAUGUAGUAAUACUUGUUUUAUUUAGUGGCGCACGGGUGAGUAACACGUGAAUUACAUGCCCUAUAGUGGGGAAUAGCCCAGGGAAACUUGGAUUAAUACCCAAUGGUAUCGUAAGAUUAAAGGUGGCUGCAAGGCUGUCGCUAUAGGAUUGGUUCGGGCCCUAUCAGCUUGUUGGUGAGGUAACGGCUCACUAAGGCAAUGACGGGUACCUGGUCUGAGAGGACGAUCAGGCACACUGGAACUGAGACACGGUCCAGACACCUACGGGUGGCAGCAGUCGAGAAUAAUUCACAAUGGGGGCAACCCUGAUGGUGCAACGCCGCGUGGAGGAUGACGGUCUUCGGAUUGUAAACUCCUGUCAUCUGGGAGAAAGACCUGACGGUAAAUAGCCGGCAGGGUUGAUAGUACCAGAAGAGGAAGGGACGGCUAACUUCGUGCCAGCCGCCGCCGUAA